rnacentral:rRNA from 1 species
AAGACCUUGCACUUUUGGAGCGGCCGAUGUCUGAUUAGCUAGUUGGUGGGGUAAUGGCCUACCAAAGCUUCGAUCAGUAGCUGGUCUGAGAGGACGGCCAGCCACACUGGGACUGAGACACGGCCCAGACUCCUACGGGAGGCAGCAGUGGGGAAUUUUGGACAAUGGGCGCAAGCCUGAUCCAGCCAUGCCGCGUGAGUGAAGAAGGCCUUCGGGUUGUAAAGCUCUUUCAGCCGGGAAGAAAAGGUUGCGACUAAUAAUCGCAAUUCAUGACGGUACCGAAAGAAGAAGCACCGGCUAACUACGUGCCAGCAGCCGCGGUAAUACGUAGGGUGCGAGCGUUAAUCGGAAUUGCUGGGCGUAAAGGGUGCGCAGGCGGUUUUGUAAGUCAGAUGUGAAAUCCCCGGGCUUAACCUGGGAACU